rnacentral:rRNA from 1 species
CCUACGGGAGGCAGCAGUGGGGGAUAUUGCACAAUGGGGGAAACCCUGAUGCAGCGACGCCGCGUGUGGGAAGACGGUCCUCUGGAUUGUAAACCACUGUCCCCAGGGACGAAGUUGACGGUACCUGGGGAGGAAGCUCCGGCAAACUACGUGCCAGCAGCCGCGGUAAUACGUAGGGAGCGAGCGUUGUCCGGAAUUACUGGGUGGAAAGGGAGCGUAGGCGGAGCUGAAGGUUGGGGGUCAAAUCUACCGGCUCAACCGGUAGCCGCACUCAAAACUGCAGUUCUUGAGUGAAGUAGAGGCAGGCGGAAUUCCUAGUGUAGCGGUGAAAUGCGUAGAUAUUAGGAGGAACACCAGUGGCGAAGGCGGCCUGCUGGGCUUUUACUGACGCUGAGGCUCGAAAGUGUGGGGAGCAAACAGGAUUAGAUACCCUUGUAGUC